rnacentral:tRNA from 1 species
GCACCGCUAGUCUAAUGGUUAGGAUAUCUGCCUUCCAAGCAGAUGGUCCCGGGUUCGAUUCCCGGGCGGUGCA